GCGCCCUUCGUCUAGUGGUUAGGACACCGCCCUUUCACGGCGGAAACACGGGUUCGAGUCCCGUAGGGCGUACCA
rnacentral:tRNA from 1 species